UACGGAGGAGGCAAGCGUUAUCCGGAAUCAUUGGGCGUAAAGCGUCCGCAGGUGGCAGUUCAAGUCCGCGGUCAAAGACCGGAGCUCAACUCCGGGAAGGCAGUGGAAACUGAAAAGCUAGAGGCCGGUAGGGGUAGCGGGAAUUCCCAGUGUAGCGGUGAAAUGCGUAGAGAUUGGGAAGAACAUCGGUGGCGAAAGCGCGCUACUGGGCCGGGCCUGACACUGAGGGACGAAAGCUAGGGGAGCGAAAGGG
rnacentral:rRNA from 1 species